rnacentral:rRNA from 1 species
UACGUAGGGGGCAAGCGUUGUCCGGAAUCAUUGGGCGUAAAGAGCGUGUAGGCGGCCCGAUAAGUCCGCCGUGAAAGUCCAGGGCUCAACCCUGGAAUGCCGGUGGAUACUGCCGGGCUAGAGUGCGGAAGAGGCGAGUGGAAUUCCUGGUGUAGCGGUGAAAUGCGCAGAUAUCAGGAGGAACACCAAUGGCGAAGGCAGCUCGCUGGGACGUGACUGACGCUGAGACGCGAAAGCGUGGGGAGCAAACAGG